GAUGAACGCUGGCGGCGUGCCUAAUACAUGCAAGUCGAGCGAACGGACGAGAAGCUUGCUUCUCUGAUGUUAGCGGCGGACGGGUGAGUAACACGUGGAUAACCUACCUAUAAGACUGGGAUAACUUCGGGAAACCGUAGCUAAUACCGGAUAAUAUUUUGAACCGCAUGGUUCAAAAGUGAAAGACGGUCUUGCUGUCACUUAUAGAUGGAUCCGCGCUGCAUUAGCUAGUUGGUAAGGUAACGGCUUACCAAGGCAACGAUGCAUAGCCGACCUGAGAGGGUGAUCGGCCACACUGGAACUGAGACACGGUCCAGACUCCUACGGGAGGCAGCAGUAGGGAAUCUACCGCAAUGGGCGAAAGCCUGACGGAGCAACGCCGCGUGAGUGAUGAAGGUCUUCGGAUCGUAAAACUCUGUUAUUAGGGAAGAACAUAUGUGUAAGUAACUGUGCACAUCUUGACGGUACCUAAUCAGAAAGCCACGGCUAACUACGUG
rnacentral:rRNA from 1 species